rnacentral:rRNA from 1 species
UACAGAGGGUGCAAGCGUUAAUCGGAGUUACUGGGCGUAAAGGGCGCGUAGGCGGUUUGAUGGGUGUGAUGUGAAAGCCCCGGGCUUAACCCGGGAAGUGCAUCGCAAACUAUCGAACUGGAGUACAAGAGAGGGUGGCGGAAUUUCCGGUGUAGCGGUGAAAUGCGUAGAGAUCGGAAGGAACGUCGAUGGCGAAGGCAGCCACCUGGCUUGAUACUGACGCUGAGGCGCGAAAGCGUGGGGAGCGAACAGG